GGGUUGUGAGGUUAAGCGACUAAGCGUACACGGUGGAUGCCCUGGCAGUCAGAGGCGAUGAAGGACGUGCUAAUCUGCGAUAAGCGCCGGUAAGGUGAUAUGAACCGUUAUAACCGGCGAUUUCCGAAUGGGGAAACCCAGUGUGACUCGUCACACUAUCAUUAACUGAAUCCAUAGGUUAAUGAGGCGAACCGGGGGAACUGAAACAUCUAAGUACCCCGAGGAAAAGAAAUCAACCGAGAUUCCCCCAGUAGCGGCGAGCGAACGGGGAGGAGCCCAGAGCCUGAAUCAGCAUGUGUGUUAGUGGAAGCGUCUGGAAAGGCGCGCGAUACAGGGUGACAGCCCCGUACACAAAAGCGCAUGUGCUGUGAGCUCGAUGAGUAGGGCGGGACACGUGGUAUCCUGUCUGAAUAUGGGGGGACCAUCCUCCAAGGCUAAAUACUCCUGACUGACCGAUAGUGAACCAGUACCGUGAGGGAAAGGCGAAAAGAACCCCGG
rnacentral:rRNA from 1 species